GAUGAACGCUGGCGGCGUGCCUAAUACAUGCAAGUCGAGCGAACGGACGAGAAGCUUGCUUCUCUGAUGUUAGCGGCGGACGGGUGAGUAACACGUGGAUAACCUACCUAUAAGACUGGGAUAACUUCGGGAAACCGGAGCUAAUACCGGAUAAUAUUUUGAACCGCAUGGUUCAAAAGUGAAAGACGGUCUUGCUGUCACUUAUAGAUGGAUCCGCGCUGCAUUAGCUAGUUGGUAAGGUAACGGCUUACCAAGGCAACGAUGCAUAGCCGACCUGAGAGGGUGAUCGGCCACACUGGAACUGAGACACGGUCCAGACUCCUACGGGAGGCAGCAGUAGGGAAUCUUCCGCAAUGGGCGAAAGCCUGACGGAGCAACGCCGCGUGAGUGAUGAAGGUCUUCGGAUCGUAAAACUCUGUUAUUAGGGAAGAACAUAUGUGUAAGUAACUGUGCACAUCUUGACGGUACCUAAUCAGAAAGCCACGGCUAACUACGUGCCAGCAGCCGCGGUAAUACGUAGGUGGCAAGCGUUAUCCGGAAUUAUUGGGCGUAAAGCGCGCGUAGGCGGUUUUUUAAGUCUGAUGUGAAAGCCCACGGCUCAACCGUGGAGGGUCAUUGGAAACUGGAAAACUUGAGUGCAGAAGAGGAAAGUGGAAUUCCAUGUGUAGCGGUGAAAUGCGCAGAGAUAUGGAGGAACACCAGUGGCGAAGGCGACUUUCUGGUCUGUAACUGACGCUGAUGUGCGAAAGCGUGGGGAUCAAACAGGAUUAGAUACCCUGGUAGUCCACGCCGUAAACGAUGAGUGCUAAGUGUUAGGGGGUUUCCGCCCCUUAGUGCUGCAGCUAACGCAUUAAGCACUCCGCCUGGGGAGUACGACCGCAAGGUUGAAACUCAAAGGAAUUGACGGGGACCCGCACAAGCGGUGGAGCAUGUGGUUUAAUUCGAAGCAACGCGAAGAACCUUACCAAAUCUUGACAUCCUUUGACAACUCUAGAGAUAGAGCCUUCCCCUUCGGGGGACAAAGUGACAGGUGGUGCAUGGUUGUCGUCAGCUCGAGUCGUGAGAUGUUGGGUUAAGUCCCGCAACGAGCGCAACCCUUAAGCUUAGUUGCCAUCAUUAAGUUGGGCACUCUAAGUUGACUGCCGGUGACAAACCGGAGGAAGGUGGGGAUGACGUCAAAUCAUCAUGCCCCUUAUGAUUUGGGCUACACACGUGCUACAAUGGACAACACAAAGGGCAGCGAAACCGCGAGGUCAAGCAAAUCCCAUAAAGUUGUUCUCAGUUCGGAUUGUAGUCUGCAACUCGACUACAUGAAGCUGGAAUCGCUAGUAAUCGUAGAUCAGCAUGCUACGGUGAAUACGUUCCCGGGUCU
rnacentral:rRNA from 1 species